rnacentral:rRNA from 1 species
CAGGCCUAACACAUGCAAGUCGAGCGGAUGACAGGAGCUUGCUCCUUGAUUCAGCGGCGGACGGGUGAGUAAUACCUAGGAAUCUGCCUGGUAGUGGGGGACAACGUUUCGAAAGGAACGCUAAUACCGCAUACGUCCUACGGGAGAAAGCAGGGGACCUUCGGGCCUUGCGCUAUCAGAUGAGCCUAGGUCGGAUUAGCUAGUUGGUGGGGUAAUGGCUCACCAAGGCGACGAUCCGUAACUGGUCUGAGAGGAUGAUCAGUCACACUGGAACUGAGACACGGUCCAGACUCCUACGGGAGGCAGCAGUGGGGAAUAUUGGACAAUGGGCGAAAGCCUGAUCCAGCCAUGCCGCGUGAGUGAUGAAGGCCUUAGGGUUGUAAAGCUCUUUUAUCCGGGAAGAUAAUGACUGUACCGGAAGAAUAAGCCCCGGCUAACUUCGUGCCAGCAGCCGCGGUAAU